rnacentral:rRNA from 1 species
ACUGCUCAGUAACACGUGGAUAACCUGCCCUUGGGUCCGGCAUAACUCCGGGAAACUGGAGAUAAUUCCGGAUAACGCACAUAUGCUGGAAUGCUUUAUGCGUAAAAUGGAUUCGUCUGCCCAAGGAUGGGUCUGCGGCCUAUCAGGUAGUAGUGGGUGUAAUGUACCUACUAGCCAACAACGGGUACGGGUUGUGAGAGCAAGAGCCCGGAGAUGGAUUCUGAGACAUGAAUCCAGGCCCUACGGGGCGCAGCAGGCGCGAAAACUUUACAAUGCGGGAAACCGUGAUAAGGGGACACCGAGUGCCAGCAUCAUAUGCUGGCUGUCCAGGUGUGUAAAAUACACCUGUUAGCAAGGGCCGGGCAAGACCGGUGCCAGCCGCCGCGGUAACACCGGCGGCCCGAGUGGUGAUCGUGAUUAUUGGGUCUAAAGGGUCCGUAGCCGGUUUGGUCAGUCCUCCGGGAAAUCUGAUAGCUCAACUAUUAGGCUUUCGGGGGAUACUGCCAGGCUUGGAACCGGGAGAGGUAAGAGGUACUACAGGGGUAGGAGUGAAAUCUUGCAAUCCCUGUGGGACCACCUGUGGCGAAGGCGUCUUACCAGAACGGGUUCGACGGUGAGGGACGAAAGCUGGGGGCACGAACCGGAUUAGAUACCCGGGUAGUCCCAGCCGUAAACGAUGCUCGCUAGGUGUCAGGCAUGGCGCGACCGUGUCUGGUGCCGCAGGGAAGCCGUGAAGCGAGCCACCUGGGAAGUACGGCCGCAAGGCUGAAACUUAAAGGAAUUGGCGGGGGAGCACA